AGCAGCCGCGGUAAUUCCAGCUCCAAUAGCGUAUAUUAAAGUUGUUGCAGUUAAAAAGCUCGUAGUUGAAUUUCGGGAUCAAAGGAUCGGUCAUGCCUUGGUAUGUACUGGUUUUAUUGGUUCUCACCUUCUAAAGAACCAUAAUGUCAUUCAUUUGAUGUUAUGGGGAAUUAGGACUGUUACCUUAGAAAAAUUAGAGUGUUUAAAGCAGGCUUACGCUUGAAUACAUUAGCAUGGAAUAAUGAAAUAGGACAUCAGAUUCUAUUUUGUUGGUUUCUAGGAUCGAUGUAAUGAUUAAUAGGGAUAGUUGGGGGCAUUAGUAUUCAAUUGUCAGAGGUGAAAUUCUUGGAUUUAUUGAAGACUAACUACUGCGAAAGCAUUUGCCAAGGAUGUUUUCAUUAAUCAAGAACGAAAGUUAGGGGAUCGAAGACGAUCAGAUACCGUCGUAGUCUUAACCAUAAACUAUGCCGACUAGGGAUCGGAUGAUGUUAAUUUUAUAAUGACUCAUUCCGG
rnacentral:misc_RNA from 1 species